GGAGACUGCAGUAGGAGAUCAAUGAAGGGAAAGGAUCAGAGAGGAGGCAGAGAUAAAAGUGAGAGCGAAGUGAGUGGAAGAGACAGAAGGAAAGAGCAAGAGGUAAAUAGAAAGGGAAAGAAAGAGAGAGAGAGAGAGAGAAGAGAGAGAGGGGAAAGAGAGAGGUAAAUAGAAAGGGGAAGAAAGAGAGAGAGAGAAGAGAGAGAGGGGAAAGAGAGGUAAAUAGAAAGGGAAAGAAAGAGAGAGAGAAGAGAGAGGGGAAAGAGAGAGGUAAAUAGAAAGGGGAAGAAAGAGAGAGAGAGAGAGAGAGAGGGGAAAGAGAGAGGUAAAUAGAAAAGGGAAGAAAGAGAGAGAGAGAGAAUGAGGGGAAAGCUAAAAUAGCUAAAACAGAUUCGGAGAAGAAGUUUUACGUGCCCCCAACCAAUUGUAUUUUUUGUUCUUUUAUGUGUGUUUUUUGUAACUUAUUUUGUACAUAAUGUUGCCACUACCAUCACUUAGGAUCAAAAAUAACUUCUGGACAUCAGGACUGCUAUUACUCACCACGGACUGGAUGAAUAAUUUUUUUCCUUUAACGAGUCUGACGAGCGCGACAAACAAUAUAGUGCUUUCCCGGGAACAGGCCCAGAUCCCCGUGAUGUGCGUGAAGACGAGGCGUAGAAAAAGGGGCCUGAGGGCGGGCUGCCUUCUGAGAACUUGUAGGCGAUCGAAUAAACCCCCACUUCCUUCCAUUCUGCUAGCAAACGUGAAAUCUUUGGACAAUAAAAUAGAUGACCUACGCAGAAGAUUAAUCUACCAACGGGACAUUCAAAACUGUAAUAUCUUAUGCUUCACGGAGUCGUGGCUGAACGACGACACUAUCAACAUAUAGCUGGCUGGUUAUACACUGCACUGGCAGGAUAGAACAAUGGCGUCUGCAUCGUCCCUUACAGAAUGCAGCAGCCAUCAAAUGAAGCAUCAGGGAGUGCUGGCGGUUCGGAUGGUGGUGACAUCGGGUUCGGGGACUGCCACUGAUGGAACCGGGGGUGCCUUAGCUGGAUCGUUGGGUUUCCAUGCCCUAGCCGGCUCCAGAGGUUUCUUUGCCCCGGUUGUCUCUGAAGGCGCACAUCCCACAUCAGGCCUC
rnacentral:lncRNA from 1 species